ACACAACAGAUUUCAAGGAGGAGGAGGUAUUUUGGGCCUGAAGAGCUUUCCAAUUCCUAUCAAACCAUUCCCCAUAGGCACCUCUCUAAUAAGUAAUAUAUUCUUAAGUGGACUUUCUUUGGUGUGUCAUAUUUUAAGAGAAAAAGACAGUGGUGACCCACUGUGAUGUCAGUUCCAGGAUUAGGGCCCAUUCUUCAAUUCCCCCUGAAAAGAGGAGGGAAAAAAAACCCCUCCCUCUGGCUCACUGUCAGAGUUCCAGUCAGUCUGAGUGUACCAAGCAGACAGACCACCCACAAACUGCAACAAAUAACAACCGUCUCUUCUUCUGAGGCAGUUAUCCACCAUUUCAUCCAAGAAUUCUUUCUUCUUUGUGGAAGCUUGCUGAUUGCUGACAAUCUACAGUCUAAAUGAUGGUCAAGAAAUACUGCAGUAACUCUACUGGAGCCACUGGAGUGAGGAACCCUAGCAAAGAAAGAAAAGCUGAAAGUCUACUCCACAAUUAACAAAAAGGAGCCUGUAGUGAGGAAAAAGGAGCCCUGGGAUUCCCAAGAGACCCAUCUCUGCUGGGCAGAGUUUUCUCCUGCAUUAAUUGCCCCUGAAAGAAGAUGCCGGAAAAGCAAGGCUGAUAUGUAGGGGUCAGUCAGUGAAUGAGGAUGCACCAUACCUCUGUUCAGAUCAUUGACUCAGAACCUGAAGACACGAACACCAGAUGCAAGCGAUUUCUUCAAAUUGUGUCCUUGCAAUUAUUAUUCUGAAUCUCUAUUGAAAUAUUAUCUCAACUUUAUUGGA
rnacentral:lncRNA from 1 species